CAGGCCUAACACAUGCAAGUCGAGCGGACCAUUCCUUCGGGGAUGGUUAGCGGCGGACGGGUGAGUAACACGUAGGCAACCUGCCUGUAAGAUCGGGAUAACUACCGGAAACGGUAGCUAAGACCGGAUAGCUGGUUUCUCCGCAUGGGGGAAUCAUGAAACACGGGGCAACCUGUGGCUUACGGAUGGGCCUGCGGCGCAUUAGCUAGUUGGUGGGGUAAUGGCCCACCAAGGCGACGAUGCGUAGCCGACCUGAGAGGGCGAUCGGCCACACUGGGACUGAGACACGGCCCAGACUCCUACGGGGGGCAGCAGUAGGGAAUCUUCCGCAAUGGGCGCAAGCCUGACGGAGCAACGCCGCGUGAGUGAUGAAGGUUUUCGGAUCGUAAAGCUCUGUUGCCAAGGAAGAACGCCUCGGAGAGUAACUGCUCUGAGGGUGACGGUACUUGAGAAGAAAGCCCCGGCUAACUACGUGCCAGCAGCCGCGGUAAUACGUAGGGGGCAAGCGUUGUCCGGAAUUAUUGGGCGUAAAGCGCGCGCAGGCGGUCUUUUAAGUUUGGUGUUUAAGCCCGGGGCUCAACCCCGGUUCGCACUGAAAACUGGGAGACUUGAGUGCAGGAGAGGAAAGCGGAAUUCCACGUGUAGCGGUGAAAUGCGUAGAGAUGUGGAGGAACACCAGUGGCGAAGGCGGCUUUCUGGACUGUAACUGACGCUGAGGCGCGAAAGCGUGGGGAGCAAACAGGAUUAGAU
rnacentral:rRNA from 1 species